AUGUCGUACAAUGCUCUAGAACUGGUGUGUUGGAACAUAAGGGGACUCAAUAGCCCGGCCAAACGGAAAGCACUUAGGGAGUUUGUAGAUUCGAUCCGUACUGCCAUCGUAUGUAUCCUAGAAACCAAACUUGAGAUGGUGGACCAUUUUGUGAUUAUGCAAUGUAUGGGGCCAACAUAUGACGACUUUUUUUACCUUCCUGCUUCGGAGACACGUGGAGGGAUUUUUGUGGCUUGGGAUUCU
rnacentral:rRNA from 1 species